CAACUGACUGUUGCUUGCUAGAUAUUCUCUUUCAGUCAGUAAGAAAUACUCAUAAUAUUUCCCCCUUGUUUUCCCAGUAUUAUUCCUGAGGGCAUGGCCCUUUCUCUCAGUAUGGAAAGUCUGCAGUUAAAUAGGGUUUUUAUCUACAAUCUACAAAACUGAGGAGCAGCACAACUAUGAGAUGAAGAAUUAAAAGGAAAAAAAGAAACUGAAGAUGCCCUUUGCUGUAUAGUUGCAAGUUUCCACUUGAAAACUAAUUAAGGGCUACCUGUAGAUGUUGUUUAUCUAGACUCUUGAAGAUUAUCUACAGGUAUUUGUCAUUUGAUCAAAAACAUGAGCGUCAUCUCAGAUUCUGUGACAGCAGGACCAUUUUAGGACUGAAAAUGUUUUGAAAUAACUCCUUAAAAUUCCAUAUUUUGGUUGAAAAUAUUGACUAGUAUUGGAACAUAAGAAUACAAGAAAGAAGAUGAAAUAGCCUUUACUGAUAUGUGUAAUAACAAUUGAGAAUAUAAGUUAAAUAAAAUUAGGUUUUACUGGACUGGCAUUGUAAAUUAAAUCUAAUCAGUGGUGCUGGCAAUGCCAAUCAAUAUUAUCUGUUAACUUUGUAUAAUACUACUUUAAAUACAAAGCAAUCUAGAUGCUAGUCUUUAUUAUUAAGCAACGAAAAAGAGCUGAGCCCCAUUAAAAGGCUUCCAUUGAGAUAUGCUGGUAAAUUUGUAAAAUUGCCUUUGUUCUGUAUAAUUUAGAAUAGACAAGUUUGACCAAAUCUUUUCUCAGUAAUGCUCACUAUUUAAUGUUAGUGUCAGCAUUACAAUUGCAUUAAAUGGCUCAUUAUCAAAGAAGUCUGGUUUAUGAUUCUUUGACAAAAUCAUAAACAAACGUGUAGAUGUUCAAAAAGAUAUAAUAUAGAUGCCAUGAAAGAAAAAAACACUCAUAAAUAUGUAUUUUGAUUAAAUAAUGCAUUCUGAUUCCCAGAAGAUUUUACUGUUAAAGUAUUUGAGUAUAUAGUGUAAACCAUUAUGUUUUAUCUGCUGUUAGUUGUCUUUACUAUAAAUGAGUUGAGGAACUUUGAGGGUAAAUGCUCAUUGUCUUUGAAUUGUCUGGCACUCAUAGAACCCCUAAUUCAAUGUGAACUCAUAUAGGACUUCUUAUCAUUUGACAAACC